rnacentral:tRNA from 1 species
GCAUCAGUAGCUCAGCAUC